UACGUAGGUGGCAAGCGUUUGUCCGGAUUUAUUGGGUUUAAAGGGUGCGUAGGCGGUCCUUUAAGUCAGUGCUGAAAUACUCUAGCUUAACUAGAGGGGUGGCAUUGAUACUGGGGGACUUGAAUGAAGUCGAGGUAGGCGGAAUUGACGGUGUAGCGGUGAAAUGCGCAGAUAUCGGGAGGAACACCUAUGGCGAAGGCAGCUCGCUGGGACGUUACUGACGCUGAGACGCGAAAGCGUGGGGAGCAAACAGG
rnacentral:rRNA from 1 species